rnacentral:lncRNA from 1 species
GGAGGAGACACCUCCAUCCAACACACAGCCCAUGCAGGAGCCAAGGAAGGAACCAGAAGCGACCGCUCUGAGCACGAGAGGGGGCUGCGUGGGGCCGAAGUCCAGGUGAUUCAGCGCUCUGCCCACUCUCAAGACAGCUCGAUGCCAAAGUGCAGACCUGGGGGCUGAGGAAGCGUCCCUUCUAAACCUCCAACUCUGCAGCCCCCCGCGGGGCUCUCGUCCAGUCCCUUCCACCCUAGGGCUCCGCGGGACUCGGGGUGAGCCCUCGUCCACCCCUGGGAACCUGUCCCUUCCCGUCCUCGCGCUCAGCAUCCCUCCCAGGCCACGAGGAAAAAACCUGAAGAGCUGAGGGAGGGGCUGACUGGAAAGUGAGGAGGUCCGCUGACCCCCGCAACCCUCCCCAGGCCACCAAAGGGCUGGGAAGUGGGAAAGGGUCAUAAGCCGAUGGCGUCCGCACGGUGAGCCCAAGAGCACUCAGAGGCCUAGGCCUCCCCAGGCAGGGCAGAGGGGCCCGGGCCACCCGGUGCGAGCAGCCCCAGGAAGGGUGUGUAAACCGAAUACCUGCAAACUGAACACCUCAGGCCUCCCACCUCCCUGGACGGACCCAGGACAUGGAGUGGCGUCCAGCAGACCACAUCACGCAGGCUUCUCAAUUUAUGGAGAUUCAUUUCUGUUUUUGUUUUGUAUGGGGGGAUUAAACCCAGGGGCUUCACACCAAGCUACAUCCCAGCCCUUUCUCUUUUUUCUUGCUUUUUAAAAUUUUAAAACAGAGUCUCGCUAAGUUGCUAAAUUGUCUAGGCUGGGCUCAAACCUGUGAUCUUCCUGCCUCAGCCUCCCAGAAUGCUGGGAUUACAAACAUGCACUGCUGUGCCCAGUUUAAAU